rnacentral:rRNA from 1 species
UACGUAGGGGGCAAGCGUUGUCCGGAUUUAUUGGGGUUAAAGGGUGCGUAGGCGGUUCCAUAAGUCAGUGGUGAAAUACAAUAGCUUAACUAUUGAGGUGCCAUUGAUACUGCGGAACUUGAGUACAGACGAGGUAGGCGGAAUUGACGGUGUAGCGGUGAAAUGCUUAGAUAUCGUCAAGAACACCGAUAGCGAAGGCAGCUUACUAGACUGUAACUGACGCUGAGGCACGAAAGUGUGGGGAUCAAACAGG